AUUGAACGCUGGCGGCAGGCUUAACCCAUGCAAGUCGAACGAGUGGCGGACGGGUGAGUAAUGCUUGGGAAUCUAGCUUAUGGCGGGGGAUAACUACGGGAAACUGUAGCUAAUACCGCGUACCAUAGGAUGAGCCCAAGUGGGAUUAGGUAUUUGGUUCGGUAAAGGCUCACCACGCCGACGAUCUCUAGCUGGUCUGAGAGUAUGACCAGCCACACUGGGACUGAGACACUGCCCAGACUCCUACGGGAGGCAGCAGUGGGGAAUAUUGCGCAAUGGGGGCAACCUGACGCAGCCAUGCCGCGUGAAUGAAGAAGGCCUUCGGGUUGUAAAGUGCUUUCGGUAGAGAGGCGUUAACUACAGAAGAAGCACCGGCUAACUCCGUGCCAGCAGCCGCGGUAAUUC
rnacentral:rRNA from 1 species